rnacentral:rRNA from 1 species
UACGUAGGUGGCAAGCGUUGUCCGGAUUUAUUGGGUUUAAAGGGUGCGUAGGCGGUUUUGUAAGUCAGGGGUGAAAUACUCUAGCUUAACUAGAGGGGUGCCAAUGAUACUGCGGAACUUGAGUACAGAUGAGGUAGGCGGAAUUGACGGUGUAGCGGUGAAAUGCAUAGAUAUCGUCAAGAACACCGAUAGCGAAGGCAGCUUACUGGGCUGUAACUGACGCUGAUGCACGAAAGUGUGGGGAUCAAACAGG